rnacentral:rRNA from 1 species
GAUGAACGCUAGCGAUAGGCUUAACACAUGCAAGUCGAGGGGCAGCAUGGUCUUAGCUUGCUAAGACUGAUGGCGACCGGCGCACGGGUGCGUAACGCGUAUGCAACUUGCCUCACAGAGGGGGAUAACCCGUCGAAAGACGGACUAAUACCGCGUACACUCUAUUUUUGGCAUCCAAGGUAGAGGAAAUGAAAUUCGCUGUGAGAUAGGCAUGCGUCCCAUUAGCUAGUUGGUGAGGUAACGGCUCACCAAGGCGACGAUGGGUAGGGGAACUGAGAGGUUGAACCCCCACACCGGUACUGAGACACGGACCAGACUCCUACGGGAGGCAGCAGUGAGGAAUAUUGGUCAAUGGGCGAGAGCCUGAACCAGCCAAGUCGCGUGAAGGAUGACUGUCUUAUGGAUUGUAAACUUCUUUUGUAGGGGAAUAAAGAGGGGCACGUGUGCCCCAGUGAAUGUACCCUACGAAUAAGCAUCGGCUAACUCCGUG